GAUGAACGCUGGCGGCGUGCCUAAUACAUGCAAGUCGAGCGAACAGACGAGGAGCUUGCUCCUCUGACGUUAGCGGCGGACGGGUGAGUAACACGUGGAUAACCUACCUAUAUGACUGGGAUAAUUUCGGGAAACCGGAGCUACUACCGGCUAAUAUAUUGAACCGCAUGGUUCAAUAGUGAAAGACGGUUUUGCUGUCACUUAUAGAUGGAUCCGUGUCGGAUUAGCUAGUUGGUAAGGUAACGGCUUACCAAGGCAACGAUGCGUAGCCGACCUGAGAGGAUGAUCAGCCACACUGGAACUGAGACACGGUCCAGACUCCUACGGGAGGCAGCAGUAGGGAAUCUUCCGCAAUGGGCGAAAGCUUGACGGAGCAACGCCGCGUGAGUGAUGAAGGUCUUCGGAUCGUAAAACUCUGUUAUUAGGGAAGAACAAAUGUGUAAGUAACUAUGCACGUCUUGACGGUACCUAAUCAGAAAGCCACGGCUAACUUCGUG
rnacentral:rRNA from 1 species